UACGGAAGGCAGCAGUGGGGAAUAUUGGACAAUGGGCGAAAGCCUGAUCCAGCCAUGCCGCAUGAGUGAAGAAGGCCUUCGGGUUGUAAAGCUCUUUUAGUGAGAAAGAUAAUGACGGUACUCACAGAAGAAGUCCUGGCUAACUCCGUGCCAGCAGCCGCGGUAAUACGGAGAGGGCUAGCGUUAUUCGGAAUUAUUGGGCGUAAAGAGCGCGUAGGCUGAUUAGUAAGUUAAAAGUGAAAUCCCAAAGCUUAACUUUGGAAUUGCUUUUUAAAACUGCUAGUCUAGAGAUUGAAAGAGGAUAGAGGAAUUCCUAGUGUAGAGGUGAAAUUCGUAAAUAUUAGGAGGAACACCAGUGGCGAAGGCGUCUAUCUGGUUCAAAUCUGACGCUGAGGCGCGAAGGGCGUGGGGAGCAAACAGGGAUUAGAUACC
rnacentral:rRNA from 1 species